GAAGACACAGUGGCCUAAUGGUUAGCGCGUUGGACUCCGGAUCGAGCGGUCCGGGUUCGAGCACUGACCGGGGUCAUUGUCUUCU
rnacentral:tRNA from 1 species